rnacentral:rRNA from 1 species
UACAGAGGUCUCGAGCGUUUGUUUCGGAUUCAUUGGGCGUAAAGGGUGCGUAGGUGGCACUGUAAGUCGGGUGGUGAAAUCUCGGGGCUUAACUCCGAAAACUGCAUUCGAUACUGCCGUGCUUGAGGACUGGAGAGGAGACUGGAAUUUACGGUGUAGCGGUGAAAUGCGUAGAUAUCGGAGUAACGGAAGACAGUGGACGGAAGGCCCGGGGUCCAUCUGGACGAGCUUCCGUCGACCGGCUAAGGACGGCGGACAGGAAAGGG